rnacentral:rRNA from 1 species
UGGCGGACGGGUGAGUAAUGUCUGGGAAACUGCCUGAUGGAGGGGGAUAACUACUGGAAACGGUAGCUAAUACCGCAUAACGUCGCAAGACCAAANAGGGGGACCUUCGGGCCUCUUGCCAUCGGAUGUGCCCAGAUGGGAUUAGCUAGUAGGUGGGGUAACGGCUCACCUAGGCGACGAUCCCUAGCUGGUCUGAGAGGAUGACCAGCCACACUGGAACUGAGACACGGUCCAGACUCCUACGGGAGGCAGCAUG